UCAGUUCAGUGCUAUUUCAUAAAUUUCAUAUCAGUUGCUAUUCUACAGAAAUUUUACUAUAUUAAAUUGCUAUUGCUACUAAUGAUCCCCUUCACUUCACUCAGAAGUCGGAACUCAGAAGAGAAGGAUAAUUUCAAGGAACAGUUGAAUAGAACAGAGCUGUCGCAUAACUAGGCCGUGGACCCUGGUUCUAUGGAUGCUCGGCUUGAGGACCCAUUAUAUUGAAUAGUGGGGAAAAACCACCCGUAAACCCCUUGUUUUUUCUUUCCUUUAGGGUGUCUGCUUAUGUGCAUCAUGCAUGUCUAGGGGAUUUCACGCCUAUGACCACGACGGAAAUCCGCAAGAUUGCGGCUUAAGGGGAGAAGUUUGAGGAGCGUGGGGUGAAGCUGUUGGCUUUUUCCUCUUGCUGAGGAUAUCCAGUUCCCAUAAGGACUGGAUCGAGGACAUCGAAGCCUACUCUGCACAUCCUAUUGUUCCAGAGAUUAGAAAACACAGGACAUAAGAAUUAGGCAAAGCUUUUAAUUAGUACAUUAGCAUCAAUCUGUUCCUAGUCCUCAACAGCAACAGUGUGUGACUUGCAAUGGAGGAACCAAAUGUUCAGGUGUUGAUUUUUAUUUUUUGCAUUUGUUUUUAUGCACUAGAUGAACUACAUAUAUUAAAGACCCUCUUAAUUAUUAUUUUUUUCUAAAUAGCUAUCAGUUUAUUUAUGAGUUAUUCUAUGUUUUUGCAUCUAUAUUUGGGGCCUUCAUAUUUGAAACCUGAUGCAUAAACGUGCCUCGAAGCUACAGAAAUUAGGUUUCAAGUGCCAUCUAUUGUACUAUAAUGCACUUGGUAUGUCAUGCUUUCUUCUCUCUGAGCAAUGUAGAGGCUUUAUCAUCUGUAAUAUAUUGUGAUGCAUUUAUGUGGAGACAUUUAAGGGUUGUAAACCAAUUUUAGUAAAAAAUAAAAUUUGGAAGCUAUAAAGAAAAGGCCAAAGUUCAGAGACAAGUUGUGAAUGCUUAUUUGUCAAGUAACACCAUUGCAGAAAAUAGCGUUUAAGAUGUUGUGUUAAAAGUCGCCAGGGACUGAGCUGAUUUUCCAGGGUUCUGCUAAUGAUAUAAUCAAGAUUGCAAUGAUAGAUAUUUUGAUUGUUGAGGGGUGUAAGAAUCCUACUUCAAGCAGCAUUUUUGCAAAAUGGUUUCCCAUGCUUAUUCCGGAUUCUCUUGCAGGUUUUUUCAUUAAAAGGCCGCUGAGGCUGUGUUAUAGGUAUUGUUAAGUUUGUCUCGAAUUCUUGACCCGUUUUGAAGAUUGACCCGCUCCGACAUAUUUUGGUGGCGACUUGAAUGAAAAGUUUUCUGAGAUUUGUGAUGGAAGCAGAGGGGUUGGGCCAAUAGCCUGGAGCCCAGCAUUGAUCUCGUAUGGGGGUGCGGGGGUUAUGGUUCGACUGGAUUGACUGUGACCCAAUGGGUCGACCCGCAACUUGAAGUAUAUAAUGUACUAUUGUCUUGUUGAGAAAUUCAUUGUAUUUUGGGGAUUUUUCGAGCUAGGGUCUUAGGGCUAGUUUUCUUGCCGCUACUUGGGUAUAAUCUCUCUUCUGCAUAGUGAAACAUCUUCUUCUUCCCCCGAGGACGUAGCACAUUACACUGGUGUGUGAACCUCGUUAAAUCUCUGUGUCGUGCGGAUCUUUUGUUUAUUUAUUUUCGUAUAUCUUGACGUUUGCUCUAACAGGUAUAUAUUUUUGUGGUCGACAGUUUAUCUCAAAACAUUUGCGGUAUUCAAGUUUGGCUAUAACCAAGGAAUACAAUUUCUUUUGUUUUCCUUUAGGUCUAUUCCUUCUCAAACUUGUGAUAGUCUAUUUCUAUCUGAUGGCAAUAUGUUUUUUGGGCAUUGUGACGGAUUCUACUCUUUAUUCAGAUGUACAUGAUGAACUUGUGUGGGAAGCUGAUCUUUCUGUAAUACAGUAGGCUGCAUUGCUGCUGCUAGAAGUGAGCAUGGAAAGUGCUGUCCCCCUUCUGGGUUUGUAAGAGCUAAUCUGACAUAAGUUGGAACCUCAUAUUAUUUUUUCAAAAAAAAAUUAUAUUGGCAUUUAUUUUCCCUGUUAGUUCAUUUGCAAGUAUAUCUGAAGGUGGGAAGAACUUGAGGCUCCCCAGCACCUAUUCCAAGCUGAACAGUAUAAAGAAAAUGCAACAUUCGGAAUUCUUGAAGAAAAAACUUGGUUGCAGCACUUUGUACUUGAAAGUGAAAUGUGAGAGGUGUGGCAUAUUCUUAUGUGUCCAGGUAACAUAGUGAAUUUUACCUUCUGGAGUGGCUAUGAAUAUUGUUAUUAGUGAGUUAUCUAUGAACUGAAUCCUGUCAGGAGUUCAAAAGGCCAGUAAAGAAUGAAUUUGUUUGCUUCAUUUUUCUUUCAA